UUACUUACCUGGCAGAGGGGACACCAUGAUCGUGAAGGUGGUCUUCACAGAUGAGGCUCCCCCAUUGCACCCCAGGUGUGCUGAACCCUGAUUUCCCCAAAUGUGGGAAACUCCACUGCAUAAUUUAUGGUAUUGGGGAACUGCAUUUCAGCUCUCCCAUG